CCUACGUGCGGCAGCAGUGAGGAAUAUUGGUCAAUGGGCGGAAGCCUGAACCAGCCAAGUCGCGUGAGGGAAUAAGGCCCUACGGGUCGUAAACCUCUUUUGCCGGGGAGCAAGGGCGGGGACGUGUCCCGGCCCGGAGAGUACCCGGAGAAAAAGCAUCGGCUAACUCCGUGCCAGCAGCCGCGGUAAUACGGAGGAUGCGAGCGUUAUCCGGAUUUAUUGGGUUUAAAGGGUGCGUAGGCGGGCUUUUAAGUCAGCGGUAAAAUCGUGGAGCUCAACUCCAUCCAGCCGUUGAAACUGAUGAUCGUGAGUGGGCGAGAAGUAUGCGGAAUGCGUGGUGUAGCGGUGAAAUGCAUAGAUAUCACGCAGAACUCAGAUUGCGAAGGCAGCAUACCGGCGCCCGACUGACGCUGAAGCACGAAAGCGUGGGUAUCGAACAGGAUUAGAUACCCGUGUAGUC
rnacentral:rRNA from 1 species